rnacentral:piRNA from 1 species
UAGGCUAUGACCUAAUGCUUGCUUGGA